rnacentral:rRNA from 1 species
GUAGAGGUAAGGCCAUGGGCGCAGCCUGAUGCAGCCAUGCCGCGUGUAUGAAGAAGGCCUUCGGGUUGUAAAGUACUUUCAGUCGUGAGGAAGGCAUUUGCGUUAAUAGCGUAAGUGUUUGACGUUAGCGACAGAAGAAGCACCGGCUAACUCCGUGCCAGCAGCCGCGGUAAUACGGAGGGUGCGAGCGUUAAUCGGAAUUACUGGGCGUAAAGCGCAUGCAGGUGGUUCGUUAAGUCAGAUGUGAAAGCCCGGGGCUCAACCUCGGAAUUGCAUUUGAAACUGGCGGACUAGAGUGCUGUAGAGGGGGGUAGAAUUUCAGGUGUAGCGGUGAAAUGCGUAGAGAUCUGAAGGAAUACCGGUGGCGAAGGCGGCCCCCUGGACAGACACUGACACUCAGAUGCGAAAGCGUGGGGAGCAAACAGGAUUAGAUACCCUGGUAGUCCACGCCGUAAACGAUGUCUACUUGGAGGUUGUGGCCUUGAGCCGUGGCUUUCGGAGCUAACGCGUUAAGUAGACCGCCUGGGGAGUACGGUCGCAAGAUUAAAACUCAAAUGAAUUGACGGGGGCCCGCACAAGCGGUGGAGCAUGUGGUUUAAUUCGAUGCAACGCGAAGAACCUUACCUACUCUUGACAUCUAGAGAAGCCAGCGGAGACGCAGGUGUGCCUUCGGGAACUCUAAGACAGGUGCUGCAUGGCUGUCGUCAGCUCGUGUUGUGAAAUGUUGGGUUAAGUCCCGCAACGAGCGCAACCCUUAUCCUUGUUUGCCAGCGAGUAAUGUCGGGAACUCCAGGAGACUGCCGGUGAUAAACCGGAGGAAGGUGGGGACGACGUCAGUCAUCAUGGCCCUUACGAGUAGGGCUACACACGUGCUACAUGCGCAUACAGAGGGCUGCACAGCGAUGUGAGCGAUCCCAAAAGUGCGUCGUAGUCGGAUUGAGUCUGCAACUCGACU